rnacentral:tRNA from 1 species
GCCCGUGUAGCUCAAUUGGAUAGAGCACUAGUCUUCGGAACUAGGUGUUGCAGGUUCGAGUCCUGCCACGGGCACCA